rnacentral:rRNA from 1 species
ACUCAAAUGAAUAGACGGGGGCCCGCACAAGCGGUGGAGCAUGUGGUUUAAUUCGAUGCAACGCGAAGAACCUUACCUACCCUUGACAUCCGCGGAAGGAUUCAGAGAUGAAUUUGUGCCGAAAGGAACCGCGAGACAGGUGCUGCAUGGCUGUCGUCAGCUCGUGUUGUGAGAUGUUGGGUUAAGUCCCGUAACGAGCGCAACCCUUAUCUUUAGUUACCAACGUGUGAUGAUGGGAACUCUAAAGAGACUGCUGGUGAAGAACCGGAGGAAGGCGGGGACGACGUCAAGUCAUCAUGGCCUUUAUGGGUAGGGCUACACACGUGCUACAAUGGGAUGUACAGAGGGAAGCCAACCCGCGAGGGGGAGCCAAUCUCAGAAAACAUGUCGUAGUCCGGAUUGAAGUCUGCAACUCGACUUCAUGAAGUUGGAAUCGCUAGUAAUCGCGAAUCAGAAUGUCGCGGUGAAUACGUUCCCGGGCCUUGUACACACCGCCCGU